rnacentral:rRNA from 1 species
GUUUGAUCAUGGCUCAGGAUGAACGCUGGCGGCGUGCUUAACACAUGCAAGUCGAACGAAGCAUUUGCGACAGAUUUCUUCGGAUUGAAGUUGCUUAUGACUGAGUGGCGGACGGGUGAGUAACGCGUGGGUAACCUGCCUCACACAGGGGGAUAGCAGUUGGAAACGACUGAUAAUACCGCAUAAGCGCACAGUACCGCAUGGUACAGUGUGAAAAACUCCGGUGGUGUGAGAUGGACCCGCGUCUGAUUAGCUUGUUGGCGGGGUAACGGCCCACCAAGGCAACGAUCAGUAGCCGACCUGAGAGGGUGACCGGCCACAUUGGGACUGAGACACGGCCCAGACUCCUACGGGAGGCAGCAGUGGGGAAUAUUGCACAAUGGAGGAAACUCUGAUGCAGCGACGCCGCGUGAGUGAAGAAGUAAUUCGUUAUGUAAAGCUCUAUCAGCAGGGAAGAUAGUGACGGUACCUGACUAAGAAGCUCCGGCUAAAUACGUGCCAGCAGCCGCGGUAAUACGUAUGGAGCAAGCGUUAUCCGGAUUUACUGGGUGUAAAGGGAGCGUAGGCCGUUUGGUAAGAGGGUUGUGAAAUGUCGGGGCUCAACCUGGGCAUUGCAGCGCGAACUGCCAGACUG